CACUCCUCAAUCUUGGGCAGCGAGAGGCUCUUACGCCUCUUUUGCAUUUCCUUGGUGUCUCCUUCCCCACUCUUCCUUGCCUGGAGAGCAAGCUGAAGAGCUGAAUCACAAAAUCUAAACAUCAAGCGUAGUAAGAGGCACCUUUCAGACUCCCUACAGUAAGUGUUAAGCCCUUCUUGGCUGCUUUUUGCCACUCUACAACCACACAGUAUUUUGUUUUUCCAUGCUUAAUCCUGUCUGCAUUGAAUCCAUUUGACAUACAACUCACGCUUGUACUCUACGAAAUUCCCUUGGAGGCGUUUAUUUCCAGGAGUGAUGGAGAGGAUCAUUGCAAACUGCUGUGUGUGCACGAGAACCGGGGGAAUGUAAGGCAGAGACUUGAAAGCCUGGCGAGUUCUGCCAGGUGAGAGCAAGCACAGGGUGAGAGAAGGUCACAUAAAAGGCUCAACAGAGCAGCCAAAAGUGUGGACAACACUGCAAAGAGCCAAUGGAAGAAACCAGGAAUUCUGCUGGUGGCUGUCCUGAAAAUGGGGCCUACAGCAACACAUUCCUAUAAUACCCUGGGUAUAGAAAGGCAUGAAAGGAGGUAAUAAAGCUUCAGUUUCAGCUUUUUUUUAAAUAAAGCUUCUAAUUUCCUAAAAUUCAGUUGGGUCUUUUUUAUGUUUGGCCAGAAUAUCCACCACAGCUCAAAGUGCAGCAUAAAUGGCUAGUAGCUGGGGCCCUAAAGCUGAACUCAAGCUUAGACCAAAUACUGGUAUAUUCAUGCCUAAGCAAAUCAAGAAAAUACCUAAUGCUUAUAGCACCUACAUAUGACAGACACAUUUACAACUCCAAAGACCAUUCUAUCAAAUUAAUUAGAAUCUAUCCCAGUUUCUGUGGAACAUAAACUUUCUCUAAAAUAACAUAACUUCAUGAAAAGAAGAAUAAAACAUCAUGAUCAUUGAACAUAUUACUCCAGUCACUUUUGAGAUUUGCUUGCUGACUUAUCCAAAUCUGCUCAGCGUUUAUUAAACACAGGAGAAAAGCAGAUCAGCAUUAAUCUAUUAGUUGAUAAACUAUUUAAGGUAGGGUUACCUGCUCAUAAAACAGUAUGUCUGGGUAAGAAGCAAAAAUUAUUUAUUUUGCGUGUACAAGAGGUGAACAAUUACAGAACUGAAAAUGGGGAUAUACUAAAAACCAUGCUAAUCAAGCAUAUCAAGGUAUGAUUUGGAGAAGUUCUCUGGUGUAAAGCUCAUAGAAAGACUGGGACUUCGGCUAAUCUCUAAGUCACAGAGAAAACAUGCAGGACUUAAAAUUCAUUACUUUAUGUUCUAGGUGAACCUCAAUUACUGGUCAACAAGAUAUAAUACGCAAACAGGUACACAAAAAAUACCAGCUGCUUUGAUUUCAACAUUAACUUCCCUAAUACCUCAUUUAUGUCAUCACCCCUUUAUGCUGACAGGUCAGAAAAACUCUUCAACAACUGUAAUUCUCAGCUGCUCUUGCCAUGUUCAUGACAUGAGCUAAAAGCAGGGUUUGGUACUUUCAAUAUUCACCUAUAAAUCAAAGUAAAAUGAAGGAAAGUCCUCUGAUGGGACUAGAUGGCACUAACAGAGGUCAUAGGAUGGAGCCUGGGACCAAAUGUGGAUAAAGAAAACAGGUGUAAGGUAGGUAAGAUACAGUUUGACUGUGACAGCUAAAAUUUAUUCUCACAUUUACUCAGAUUUCUUUUUUUUGCAAAAAUUUUGGGAAUAUUUUUACACGAACAGAAAUACGCCACAGCAAUGUAAAUGCUAUAGGCACUUCAUUACUACUGUUAACACAUUUUACAUUUGUAUUCAGUUUUAAGACAGAUGUCAUCUGGCAUAAUAACAACUGAUGUGAUACAGUGUAACAGCAACUCAGGAUUUGUUAUCUUAGUGUGUAAUUAACAAAAGCUACAUUUAAAAAAUCAAACAUCUUUAAAACAAGACUACAGUAUUAAACAAAACCACAGUAAGCUCUGCAAUAUGCUUAAUGACAAAGAUUGGAACUACUUUAUACAAUGAAGAUAAACCUCUUUAAAUGUACACAGAAUUAGACAGAAAUACAUCUACUGAGAAACACAUUAAACAUUAAAGAUGAUAAUUUUGAGGUAAACAAUGCAUAUUAUAUUGCUUCAAUUUCACCCAUGUUGAUUAACCAUUUUAUUAAGCCUGAAUUUGUUACAGAUUUAAACCAAUAAUUCUACUUCUCCAUUACAUAUAUUUUAAAAAUCCCACAGCAUAUGUUCAGAUUCAUAGUAAUUUGGAUAUUUAGGGAAAGGACAAAGUUAGAGGCAAGCACUUAAACAGCUGCAAGAAAAAAUUCAAAAAGAUGCUAUAUUCAGGAUUUCCACAAAAAUGAAAAAAUGCUUCCAAAGCACUGUGACCAAUAAAAAGAAAAUAAAAAAAUUUCUAUUCAAUAAAUUUUCAGGAAAUUACAAUUUACCAUUUUCCCCUAGAUUUAGUUAGUGCCUCUUUUCCUUGGCUUAUUUAAAUUAUCGCUUUUGUUUGCUUCCUAUAUUAAUCAGCUAACCAGCAAGAUUGUCAACACCUCUAGUUAACUGGUAUCAAAUACAAGUCUUUUUACCAAAAAUCUUUGGAUUAAAAAUACAUGUCUCCAUGAUCACGAACAGAAA